rnacentral:misc_RNA from 1 species
AACGCACGAGACCUGCGGACCUGCGGAAGGAUCAUUAUAGAGUGCUAUAAAACUCAAAACCCUUCUGUGAAUCUACCUAAAAGUUGCUUCGGCAAAGGCCCACGGGGGGCCACAGCUUAUACAGGUUGCUGUAAAGUUGUCUGGGACGUGCCUGCUAUAAGGGUGCAACCUAGUUGCCGAAGAACGCCAAAACAAACGCUGUAACAAGAAUUUGCAGUCUGAGACAAUAGAAAAACUAUU